UCAUAUUUUUUUUAAACUAAUACAUAAAGAGCUAAUAAAACCAAUACUCUAUAUAUAAAUAGAUAAUGCUCGAGUCACCAUAAGUACAUAAUUUGUUUUGAAUCUUGGUCUCUCAAGGACCAUAGUAUCUACAAUAUUUAUUAACUAACAUACAACAAACUAGAAGGAAUAAAGUGUCAUGUUAGGUCCACUUCAACAUCAUUUUCUUCAAGGAAAUCAAUGUUUGGCAUGUAAACUCCAUGCUGAAAGAGAAACACCAAAAUUCAAUGAAAUGAGGAAUAAGAAAAGAGGAAACUAGUAAACUUAAAUUAAGAGAUAGAGAGAUUAACCAUUAACUUGACAAGUGAUAAUGUUUUUGAGACAUAUUGGCUUGCCACACUAGUGUGUUUUCUUCCAGUGCUUAGAAGCUUUUUCAGUAGUGUUAACACUGGAAAGAAGAAAUAGAAAAGAAACAACAAAAAUAUAUAAACAUGACCAUGCCACUUGAAUAUUACUAAAAGCUAAACUAUAAAGAUCCAAAAAAAUCUAUAUUAAGGUAUAUAAAAAUCUCAAUAGUUGGGAAUUUUAAUGAAUAUUGGAUUUACUGCUCCAAAAUUAUAACUAAUGGAAACAUUACUAACAAAUUAUGUACAAUAUCAAGAUUAUGAAUGAAAUUAGUACAUGAGGAGAAACUACCACCACUUGAAGAAGCUUGUUUCUAUGGAACUUCUCUUACUGCCUCACUGACGCCAUUUGGCAAAGAAGUCGCAUGCCCUCUUUUAGCUGCACAAAGCAAAAUUGUUACUAACUCCAUCCCACAAAAAUAUUCACAUUUCGAUUUUCUGAGGAAAGAGUUCCAUUUUAAACUUUUUAAGUCAAUUCACCAAAAUCCUAAAAUUUAAAAAUAAUGUUUAUUAAUUUGGUUUAGGGAUAUAAUAAUGAAACACAUUGUAAACUAUUUAAAUUUUAAAAAAAAUUCCAAUUAACACAGGACUAACUGAAAGAGUACAUAUAAACAGUAGAGGAGCUAAUACAGACUGAAGCAUGAAAAAUUAUCAAAUUAAACCAAAAUACAUCAUAUAUGUACAAUUGAAUCUUAUGAGCAAAUUACACAUUAAAGAUCUGAAAAUAAAGAUUUGACAAGAGCAAGUAUUAGGAAGAUUCAAUACUCUAAACAUUAUAAGGCACAUUUCAAAUUAACCAUCAUGUUUAAAUCAAAUAAGAAAUAAAUUCGGCAGAUUAAUAGUUGAUAAUCUAAAACAGGAGCACUGGAAACUCGAAAAUAGGCAUGAUAGUUAUAACUCAUAGAAAUAUGUACUUUUCAUGUGGCACUAACAGAUGCAUAUAUACACACAAGUUAGGCAUCACUUUUUUGGUUAAGCAUAUUCAAGUAGAAGUAAUUUAAUGUUUGUAAUAAAAAAUAUUUUUAGUUGUGCUAGUGGCUGACAACCGUGCUACUUAAUAUUACAAAAACAAGUAAAGUAGCCCAUCCAGACAUCUUUUGGUGUAUCAUAUUAACUACAAGGCAAGAUGCUUCUGUUGCUUAAGACUGGCCAAUAAAGCCAGCAACCAAGGGUAUUAUUUUCCCUUUAACUAAAAAUAAAGAAUCAUAACAUAUCACUUACAAAAUUUUGACUUUAUUAUACCAUUAAUCAAUCAAUCAAAAUUCUGUCAAAAGGACCCGGUUCAUAAUUCAUUACAAACCCAUAAAGUUUUAACCUUUAAUCAAUCAAACCCAUAAUUCUUGUAUUAAUUGAAGGAAACUAUGACUACUAACCAUAAAACACAUCAUAUGCAGACAGAGACCAAUGCCAGAACAUGAACUUUAAGAACACUACAUAUGGCUUAUGGAAGAAAAGAACACAAACAUAUACAGUAAAGGAGAAAGGAGGUCCAUCUUUACCAUCACUUACGAGAUACUUAUUGUUUCACAUAGGACCAAGGAAAUACAUUUUAAACAUCAUUCCAAAAAAAAUCCAGGAAAAGGAGAAGUUUUACAAAUAAUUUGCUAGACAAUUCGGAACAGCAUGAAUGACAAGUGUCAAGAUCAAAUUCAACUGUAAAUUAUAAUGUGGCAGCAGAGCACAAAUGGUUAAUUGUCAAGUGCAUUUAAUAUUAGUUUUUGCAUUUAAAAAUCGCUAAUUAGAAGGAUAUAUAUUUAAGAUUUGAAGCUCAGCUCAAGAGGUGAGCUUAAAUUAUUACUCAAACUUAACUUGUAUAUGAUUCAAGUUGUGAUCUCAAUGGUUUUUAAAAAUCAAGUCAUCUCACUUGUAGCUUAUUUCAACUUAGUUUUGAGUGUUAGAACAAGCUAAAAGACGGUUUUCAAAACUAAUAAUCGUUUUUAAUUCUAGAAAACAGAUAAUAAAAAUGCAAAUUAAAAAAUUAGAAUAUUUGUAAUGAUAACAAACAUAUCACAGCCUUUUAAAUUGCCUCUUACUAAGGCAAAAGUAACAUUAUUAAAUUAUACUAAUAACUAAUUAAAUAUCUGCAUAGUUAAUAAAAAAAAUUGUAUUGACAAUAUAGAGGAUAAACUAUCACCUAUAAACUAAUUGUGAUAAAAAAAAUAAUUAAAUCAAAGGCGGACAUGUGUCAAUAUUUUGCCUUGAGUUUAAAGAGCAUGGUUUUUGAAUUUCUUCUAGAACACCACAUAUUUUUAUACCAAAAAGGUCCCAUCAUAUCCAACCAAACUCAAACCCAAACCCAAAGUAUUCCCAAACCAUUUCUAAUUUCCUAGUUUACUAAUCCAUAAAGUUGAAAAUUCACGAGUAAUGGUUUGCAGGCAGUGGCAAGUUUGGAGAACUUAUGAUUCACGAGUAAUAUUAUAUCUCUGCCUAAACAAAUAACAUCUCUAUAUAACACUCUAUAUGUAUCAUGCACAUUGAAUAUGUUUUAGUUUAAAUAUAUAUGUCACGCAAAUUUGUGUUUCAAUCAAUCUGGACCAUGUGGCCAAUCUUUUCCUCUAAAGUCAUUUGGCUCAUUAGGUCCUUUAUUCGAACAUUUACGGACUGUUUGGGGGUCUUUGUAUUUAAUGUAUUCUGUUUUUACCUUGGUAGCACAGAAACACAAAACUAGAAUCAUAAUACAAAACUUUUCGCCAUAUUUUUCUGUCCCCAAAUUUUGUUCACCUGAUCACUUAAAUAGCAAGAUAGUAUAACAUUAAAAUUCUGGUAGACCUUCAAUGGCAAUCAUUUAUUUUAAAGACCACAAUAUUUACUAAAUCAUAAAAAAGACAAGAAAGCUGCUCAAAAGUUUAAAUAUGCAAACUAAAGAUCUAGGCAUCCCAAAAGUCAUAAUAAUUUGAUGGUGAACUCAUCAAAUCAGCAUUCAGACAUCAAUCAAUAACAAGGUAAUUUUAAACUGUAGAUUUAGUAUCUUAUAUUCCAAAUGUAUGAGUUGAACUCCAAAACUUCAUAUGUAUGUAACUAGUUAAACAAGAUUAAAAAAAUUGUUAAAAAUAUUAACAUUACAGAGCCACACUGAGAUUGUAGAAGCUUAAUGAUGUAUUAUCGAGAGAACAAUCACCUAUAUUCAACUCCACGUAAAAAAUAGUAGGGGAGAACAUAAGUUACACAAUCCAUCACAUAUUCUAUAAUCUAAUGAUUCAAUCAAAGCUUGUGUUCCUCAAUUCAAUAUAACUUCAAAGAAAAUACUCUUAAUUCUUGCUUUAAACAAAAAACGAGAUUAGAGGUUUAAGGAUAUUAGGUAUGAAAAAUGAAGAAGAACAAGAAAAGAUUACUUACAAAUUGGGAAGGAUGACCGAGCUGCUUAAAGAUUAUCGUCGAUUGAAAGUAUUAGAUCCGUCUUAGGCCUUUUCAAUUGGCGCGAUUAUUUUCUUCUCGAUCGUCCGAAUUUUCCUUUAGCACUAAACUUAGAUCCACAAGAUGACGAUAAUAACACAACUAAUUGAGAAGCUCAUGCUUGCAAUUGAGAAGAGAUGGGAUUUGGGAUGGGAAUUGAGAAGCAAAAUCAGGAGUUAUGGUUUCAAUUCAGAAGAUGGGUCUUUGGGGAUUUUCAAUCUGACAGAAAGAACAAACAUACAUACACCCUUUUAUUUUUUAAAGGCUAAUUUAGCCUUAUUUUUUAUUUUGUUUUAUUUUUUGA
rnacentral:lncRNA from 1 species